UUCGAUUCCCUUAGUAGCGGCGAGCGAAAUGGGAAGAGCCCAAACCAACAAGCUUGCUUGUUGGGGUUGUAGGACACUCUAUACGGAGUUACAAAGGACGACAUUAGACGAAUCAUCUGGAAAGAUGAAUCAAAGAAGGUAAUAAUCCUGUAGUCGAAAAUGUUGUCUCUCUUGAGUGGAUCCUGAGUACGACGGAGCACGUGAAAUUCCGUCGGAAUCUGGGAGGACCAUCUCCUAAGGCUAAAUACUCUCUAGUGACCGAUAGUGAACCAGUACCGUGAGGGAAAGGUGAAAAGCACCCCGGAAGGGGAGUGAAAUAGAACCUGAAACCGUGUGCUUACAAGUAGUCAGAGCCCGUUAAUGGGUGAUGGCGUGCCUUUUGUAGAAUGAACCGGCGAGUUACGAUUUGAUGCAAGGUUAAGCAGUAAAUGUGGAGCCGUAGCGAAAGCGAGUCUGAAUAGGGCGUUUAGUAUUUGGUCGUAGACCCGAAACCAGGUGAUCUACCCUUGGUCAGGUUGAAGUUCAGGUAACACUGAAUGGAGGACCGAACCGACUUACGUUGAAAAGUGAGCGGAUGAACUGAGGGUAGCGGAGAAAUUCCAAUCGAACCUGGAGAUAGCUGGUUCUCUCCGAAAUAGCUUUAGGGCUAGCCUCAAGUGAUGAUUAUUGGAGGUAGAGCACUGUUUGGACGAGGGGCCCCUCUCGGGUUACCGAAUUCAGACAAACUCCGAAUGCCAAUUAAUUUAACUUGGGAGUCAGAACAUGGGUGAUAAGGUCCGUGUUCGAAAGGGAAACAGCCCAGACCACCAGCUAAGGUCCCAAAAUAUAUGUUAAGUGGAAAAGGAUGUGGCGUUGCCCAGACAACUAGGAUGUUGGCUUAGAAGCAGCCAUCAUUUAAAGAGUGCGUAAUAGCUCACUAGUCGAGUGACACUGCGCCGAAAAUGUACCGGGGCUAAACAUAUUACCGAAGCUGUGGAUUGUCCUUUGGACAAUGGUAGGAGAGCGUUCUAAGGGCGUUGAAGCAUGAUCGUAAGGACAUGUGGAGCGCUUAGAAGUGAGAAUGCCGGUGUGAGUAGCGAAAGACGGGUGAGAAUCCCGUCCACCGAUUGACUAAGGUUUCCAGAGGAAGGCUCGUCCGCUCUGGGUUAGUCGGGUCCUAAGCUGAGGCCGACAGGCGUAGGCGAUGGAUAACAGGUUGAUAUUCCUGUACCACCUAUAAUCGUUUUA
rnacentral:rRNA from 1 species